CUAAAACAUCAGUUAGUCUAUAAGAUGCCACAGGACUCUUUGCUGCUUUGACAAAAAUUAGGCAUCAACACAGAUCAACAUAAAGAAGUCCACGAUUACUGAUAAAAAUGCAUCAGUUCUGCCAGAAUCCAGGCACUUUUAAUCAGUCUACGACCUGGAAGAACAACUGCCCUCCUGAAACUGGAUCUCCAAGUUAACACCUCAACACAUUGUUUGUAUAUCAUCGCAAAAGCUGAGAAGAAAAUGCAUUCAUAAGAAAUUUACUGUUUAACCCAGCUAGGUCAGAGUUCCUGCCCAGGGCAUUAAUGCAAAUACAUUAGAGCAAUGUCUCAGGCUAUAAUACCUUCUAGUAAAAGGGUAGUUGUUAACAUGAUGGCUUAACUAUUUACAGUGCCAAACUUACAGUAUGUAUGUUGUGU